ensembl:miRNA MIR4323 microRNA 4323
CGGGGCCCAGGCGGGCAUGUGGGGUGUCUGGAGACGCCAGGCAGCCCCACAGCCUCAGACCUCGGGCAC